rnacentral:rRNA from 1 species
AACGUAGGAGACGAACGUUAUCCGGAGUUACUGGGCGUAAAGGGCGUGCAGGCGGUCUGAUAAGUUCGGCGUGAAAUAUUCCGGCUUAACCGGGAUAGGUCGUCGGAGACUGUCGGACUAGAGGGUGAUAGAGGCGUGUGGAGUUCCGGGUGUAGUGGUGAAAUGCGUAGAGAUCCGGAGGAACACCAGUGGCGAAGGCGACACGCUGGGUCACACCUGACGCUAAAGCGCGACAGCAUGGGGAGCGAACGGG